UGUGCUGAAUGCUAAGUGAUUCCUCAUCUGAUUCCUUGCUCCAAAAUACAGGGACUUGAAGACAGACUACAUUUUUCCUGAGCGAGACAAUUUGGUCUCAAGGGAAACCAAACUGUAGCACAGAAUGUGAGAGUAUGCAGCCAGAUGCUUCGGAGGGAGAGACAUUUUUCUUGCCAAUCCCGAUUCCUUCAGUCCUCAAUCACUCCCCAGAAAGUUAGGCUCAACAGACGGUUAACUUCAGGAAAAAGAGAGCAACAAUAGGAUGGAAUGCAUAAAAUCCUUCCCCAGAGCAAGCUUCUCCCACUUCUUGAAAGGCUUUAUUUUUAUAUAGCCUCUGGAAGCCAGAUAAAGUAUCACUUAGAAAGCGAGCCUCACAGGGCGGCUCUGGAGAGAUCUGAGGGCUGCGUUCAUAAGUUCAGAAAGAACGAAGUUUAUGCUUUAGGCCGCUAGACCGUAAGCUCUUUGAGUUCAGUUUUUAUCUUCAUUGUAUUUCAAGAACUGUGCAAGUAUCUG